CCCUUAGAUGUCCUGGGCCGCACGCGCGUUACACUGAUGCAUUCAACGAGCUUAUAACCUUGGCCGAGAGGCCUGGGCAAUCUUGUUAACGUGCAUCGUGAUAGGGAUAGAUUAUUGAAAUUAUUAAUCUUGAACGAGGAAUUCCUAGUAAACGCAGAUCAUCAAUCUGCAUUGAUUACGUCCCUGCCCUUUGUACACACCGCCCGUCGCUCCUACCGAUUGAAUGUGCUGGUGAAAAGUUCGGAUUGGGAAUAGGAGACGGCAACGUAUCCUGUUUCUGAGAAAAUCUUUAAACCCUCCCAUUUAGAGGAAGGAGAAGUCGUAACA
rnacentral:rRNA from 1 species